rfam:Pseudonocardia sp. HH130629-09, complete genome.
CUUCAGCGACCCGAGCCACAGCGGCUGCCGGCGGUUCCGGCCGUAGGUGGCGAUCAGCGCCUGGGCCUC